CCUACGGGGGGCAGCAGUAGGGAAUCUUCCACAAUGGACGAAAGUCUGAUGGAGCAACGCCGCGUGAGUGAAGAAGGGUUUCGGCUCGUAAAGCUCUGUUGGUAGUGAAGAAAGAUAGAGGUAGUAACUGGCCUUUAUUUGACGGUAAUUACUUAGAAAGUCACGGCUAACUACGUGACAGCAGCCGCGGUAAUACGUAGGUGGCAAGCUUUGUCCGGAUUUAUUGGGCGUAAAGCGAGUGCAGGCGGUGCAAUAAGUCUGAUGUGAAAGCAUUCGGCUCAACGGGAGAAUUGCAUCAGAAACUGGUGAACUUGAGUGCAGAAGAGGAGAGUGGAACUCCAGGUGUAGCGGUGGAAUGCGUAGAUAUAUGGAAGAACACCAGUGGCGAAGGCGGCUCUCUGGUCUGCAACUGACGCUGAGGCUCGAAAGCAUGGGUAGCGAACAGGAUUAGAUACCCUUGUAGUC
rnacentral:rRNA from 1 species